rnacentral:rRNA from 1 species
AUUGAACGCUGGCGGCAGGCCUAACACAUGCAAGUCGAACGAGUGGCGGACGGGUGAGUAAUGUCUGGGAAACCGCCCGAUGGAGGGGGAUAACUACUGGAAACGGGAGCUAAUACCGCAUACCAUCAGAUGUGUCCAGAUGGGAUUAGCUCGUUGGUGGGGUAAAGGCUCACCAGGGCGACGAACCCUAGCUGGUCUGCGAGGAUGACCGGCCACACGGGAACUGGGACACGGUCCAAACGCCUACGGGAGGCAGCAGUGGGGAAUAUUGCACAAUGGGGGCAAUCCUGAUGCAGCCAUGCCGCGGGUAUGAGGAAGGCCUUCGGGUUGUAAAGUACUUUCAGCGGGGAGGCGUUACCCGCAGAAGAAGCACCGGCUAACUCCGUGCCAGCAGCCGCGGUAAUAC